rnacentral:rRNA from 1 species
UACGUAGGGACCAAGCGUUGUUCGGAUUUACUGGGCGUAAAGGGCGCGUAGGCGGCGUGACAAGUCACUUGUGAAAUCUCCGGGCUUAACUCGGAACGGCCAAGUGAUACUGUCGUGCUAGAGUGCAGAAGGGGCAAUCGGAAUUCUUGGUGUAGCGGUGAAAUGCGUAGAUAUCAAGAGGAACACCUGAGGUGAAGACGGGUUGCUGGGCUGACACUGACGCUGAGGCGCGAAAGUGUGGGGAGCGAACAGG